GCCUACGGGGGGCAGCAGUAGGGAAUCUUCCACAAUGGGCGAAAGCCUGAUGGAGCAACGCCGCGUGGGUGAAGAAGGUCUUCGGAUCGUAAAACCCUGUUGUUAGAGAAGAAAGUGCGUGAGAGUAACUGUUCACGUCUCGACGGUAUCUAACCAGAAAGCCACGGCUAACUACGUGCCAGCAGCCGCGGUAAUACGUAGGUGGCAAGCGUUAUCCGGAUUUAUUGGGCGUAAAGGGAACGCAGGCGGUCUGUUAAGUCAGCGGUAAAAGCCCGGGGCUCAACCCCGGCGAGCCGUGGAAACUG
rnacentral:rRNA from 1 species